UUCAGGAUUAGUUAUCGCCCUAUUACUGGGUUGUACUUCUACCCUUCUUAACGAACAGCUAUCAUUUUAUUAAGUUAAUGUGGUAGUCUAUCGUUUCUUUUACUUUGAGAAAAUUAGAGUGUUCAAAGCAGGUUUUUGCCCGAAUAUUACUCUUGGAAUAAUACUAUAGGACCUUAGACUUAUUUGAUGGUGAGUAGGACUGAGGUAAUGAUUGAUAGGGACGGUUGGGGUCAUUCGUACUGUAAAGCGAGCGGUGAAAUGCAUGGACCUUUAUAUGACGACCUACUGCGAAAGCAUUUGACUAGGACGUUCCCGUUGAUCAAGAACGAAAGUUGGGGGAUCGAAGACGAUCAGAUACCGUCGUAGUCUCAACCAUAAACUAUGCCAGCUAGGGAUUGGAAGUCGAUCUUAUUUAUGACACUUUCAGCACCUUAUGAGAAAUCAAAGCAUUUGGGUUCCGGGGGGAGUAUGGUCGCAAGGCUGAAACUUAAAGGAAUUGACGGGAGGGCACCACCAGGAGUGGAGCCUGCGGCUUAAUUUGAUUCAACACGGGAAAACUUACCAGGUCCGGACAAAGUAAGGAUUGACAGAUUGAAAGCUCUUUCUUGAUUCUUUGGGUGGUGGUGCAUGGCCGUUCUUAGUUGGUGGAGUGAUUUGUCUGGUUAAUUCCGUUAACGAACGAGACCUCAGCCUGCUAAAUAGUGUUUUCAUCUUUGGAUGCUUAUACUUCUUAGAGGGACUACUUAUGCUAUAACUGAGCGGAAGCUUGAGGCAAUAACAGGUCUGUGAUGCCCUUAGAUGUUCUGGGCCGCACGCGGGCUACACUGGUGAUCUCAACAAGCCUUCACUUGGUUGAAAAGCCAGGUUAAUCUUUGAAAUAUCACCGUGCUUGGGAUAGACUAUUGCAAUUUUUAGUCUUCAACGAGGAAUUCCUAGUAAACGCGAGUCAUCAGCUCGCAUUGAUUACGUCCCUGCCCUUUGUACACACCGCCCGUCGCUCUACCGAUUGGAUGAUUCGGUAAGCAUUUGAGAUCUAGUCUGACUCUCCUAACGAAGCUUCUGACCGGA
rnacentral:rRNA from 1 species